AUCAUUUGAGACCAGCUUGGCCAACAUGGUGAAACCCCUUCUCUACUAAAAAUUAGCCAGGCGUGGUGGUGCGUGCCUGUAAUCCCAGCUACUCGGGAGGCUGAGGCAGGAGAAUUGCAGGAGGCAGAGUUUGCAAUGAGCCGAGAUCGCACCACUGCAUUCCAGCAAAAAGUAAAAAGAAGGCUUAAUUCCUGGAAGCAGAAUUGACUGUCAAACAGAUUGCAUCAAGGUAUUUGCUGCUUUGAAGUUGGGUUGAAGGGUACAUUCAGACUCAGAUCCAAUUCCACUUCUUCCAUGACAUCUUACAUGAUUUUCUUCUGCUCCUGACUCUUCAUAUUUCUUAAAGAAACAAUUUGCCAUAAAGGAAAAGGCAAGGACUUUGAAAUCAGACCUGGGGCUUUCCCCCUACUUGGGUAAGCGAUUUGGUUCUCUGAGCCUUGGUUUCUACACCUGUGAAAUGGGAGUUCAUAAUACUUGCCUCAAAAAAAAAAAUUUGCACAAAUUAAGUAUACAAAAAGCCUACAGCACAAUACCCAACCUGGAGUAUUUCAUGCUGCUCAGUAAGUACUUGUCCAUCUGUUUCCUUAUGGGCUACACUGCACAAAUUGGCUAUGUAAUUUGGCACUUGUUUAUGUACCCGCUCAUGCUGUUACCAGCUUCUUUAUUGUUCUUUAUUGUGUGUGAUUGUUAUUCCUCCUCUCCAGACUACAUUGUAAUCUCUUCCAAUUCAAGGACUCUAUCUCCUUUGUCCUUUGUACCCAUAGUUCAAUGAAUGGUUUUUGAAGUUAGAGUAGCAGUUGUUUGAGAAAAGAUAAAAUACAUUCCUGAACUACACUGUAUGAUGUUAGAAGGUGUCUUUGUAGCAGGUCUACAGAAAAGAAUGUUUGAGACCUUGAAGAAAAGUCCUUCAGCUGCCCAUAAAAAGUAUAAAUGGUAGAAACAUAACUAUUUAGUGGAAAGUGAGAAGCACUGCUUUGCCACUCAUGAACCCCUCGUGUUAAAGCACUGAAGAUUCCAGGCUGGAGCCAGUGCUGAGUAUCAUGAAUUACUGCCCUUAAAACUAGCAUCUCAAGUCAUAUAUAAUACCUUUUCUGGGCAAGAGUCCCAUCUCCUUAAUCUCUGCUAAAUGAGUGUUUAUUAGAUCUGGCUGUUGAAAAAUACCAAGUUAAAUCAGACAGUUAAAAAAAAUCAACAUGAUGCCCAUAACUGGUUUAAUUUAUCUUCCCUCUUCAGUAAUCCCACACAUUACCUACUUAUUUGCUGUAAUGAACAUGCCAUUCAGCUAAAAUAAGAUUAACUGCUUAAACCAUGGCAUUACAGGCAGAGAACUUUAAUGCCGCUUUGUGUUUCAUUGUAAGGGUUCAGCAGUUAAACGAUAUGCUGUUGUCGUUUCUUCCAUUGUAAUCAAGACGGUUUCACUUAGGAUUAGUGCUCCCCAGCUGAUUCUCCUGAUGGAACAUUUGAAGCAGCAAAUUUAUAUGUCUAAGUUACAGCCUGGCAGCAAUAACAACCUUCUGAAUCAAACCUGUUGGCCUCAUCAGCACUCAAAUUGCACUGCUCUUUGUGAAGCCCCAUCUGCUCUAAUGGUGAUGGAAAUCUCGCCUGCCAUGCAGACCAGGGAUGGAAAAUUGAAAGGGGACUUGGGCAUGCAUCUGGAAAAUAGCACUGUGAUGCCCCAGGUGGGAUCAGGAUUCAGAAAAUUAACCCACAUUCCCCCACGUGAAUGAGCAUUUGCCUGUUCUCUGCAUCAAAGUCAAAUCCCACUUCUUCAAUGGUGCUUUCUGGACUGUUCCAGCCCCACUCAUCUCUCUUUUCUUUGAACUCAUUAUAAUUAUACAUCUUCCUACAUUACUUAAGGCCAAUUAUUUAUUGAUUUAUGCAAAUCAUGUCAUUAUUUCCUCCGAGGUAACACUGUCUCUUCACUUAGACUGCAAGCUCUUAUAAGUCAGGGACUAAUAAAUAACUGCGUGGUCCUGGGCCUAUAGGAAGGGCCCAU
rnacentral:lncRNA from 10 species